rnacentral:rRNA from 1 species
GGUUGAUCCUGCCAGUAGUCAUAUGCUUGUCUCAAAGAUUAAGCCAUGCAUGUCUAAGUAUAAACAACUUUAUACUGUGAAACUGCGAAUGGCUCAUUAAAUCAGUUAUAGUUUAUUUGAUAAUACCUAGUUACUUGGAUAACUGUGGUAAUUCUAGAGCUAAUACAUGCUAAAAAUCCCGACUUCUGGAAGGGAUGUAUUUAUUAGAUAAAAAACCAACCCGGGCAACCGGUUCUUUGGUGAUUCAUAAUAACUUUUCGAAUCGUAUGGCCUUGUGCUGACGAUGGUUCAUU